CUUUACACAUGCAAGUCGAACGGUAACAGGGUGCUUGCACCGCUGACGAGUGGCGAACGGGUGAGUAAUGCGUCGGAACGUGCCGAGUAGUGGGGGAUAACGCAGCGAAAGUUGUGCUAAUACCGCAUACGUACUGAGGUAGAAAGUGGGGGACCUUCGGGCCUCACGCUAUUCGAGCGGCCGACGUCUGAUUAGCUAGUAGGUGAGGUAAAGGCUCACCUAGGCGACGAUCAGUAGCGGGUCUGAGAGGAUGAUCCGCCACACUGGGACUGAGACACGGCCCAGACUCCUACGGGAGGCAGCAGUGGGGAAUUUUGGACAAUGGGCGAAAGCCUGAUCCAGCCAUGCCGCGUGUCUGAAGAAGGCCUUCGGGUUGUAAAGGACUUUUGUCAGGGAGGAAAUCCCUAGCGUUAAUACCGCUGGGGGAUGACAGUACCUGAAGAAUAANCACCGGCUAACUACGUGCCAGCAGCC
rnacentral:rRNA from 1 species